GUCCUUUGGUUUUUCUUCAGAUCGUAUAAAUCUUUCGCCUUUUACUAAAGAUUUCCGUGGAGAGAAACAGUCCGGGGUUUUUACCCAAUUUUUUGAGGCUUCACCUAGGUGAGGCU